rnacentral:tRNA from 1 species
UGGGUUGUGGCUCAGGGGUAGAGCACUCACCUAGCACAUGAAAGGGCCUGGGUUCAAUCCUCAGUACCACAU